UCGCGCGUUACACCCCCACCACCACCAUUACCGGCACCACACAACCACCAUCACCGGCACAGCAAGCGACUCUCUUUGGAUUCGUACCGCCGCUCGAUUCGUCCACGCGGCCACGACGACUGAUGAGCGUUCCUUGCGUCCGAAAAUGUGGAAGCGUUACUGCGGCAUGCACAACCGCGGAUAUUACGUUCUUCGUACUUGGUUAGCUACGAACUCUACGACGAAAUACCUUCGGGCGAUAGGAGCGCAGGAUGUUUCGCGUCGCGUUUCGCCUUCUAUUUGCUCGUCACACAUACAUCCACAAAGAGACGUUAACUUAUCGCAAUCCUACGUGUCAUAUCGAACUCGACAACGUUCCUCCUACGUCGAAUUAUUCUAUCGAACGUCGAGACACCGAAAUGAAAUAUAAUACAUUGUUUGUAAAAAGUACGAGAUACUGUAUUUAAAAUCGUCCCAUUUCAAAUAAUUUCAAGUAUUCGAGGGAUAGUAAGAAUAUCGGCCAACUAGACGAUAAAUAUCAACAAAGUCAUUACGAGUUGGAAAUAAGGUGGGCCUAACCUAAAGGACUUCCAUUUAGAAGAGAGAAAGUAAACCGAUGCCUUUUUAGUAUUUACCAAAAGAUCGCUAUCCCAUGGCGCCGUUGUCGAUACCCCAUAACUCUUCAAAACUCAGCCCACCCAUGCGCUCACCUUAUACUUCUGAAAGUAUAUAUAAUAUGAAAGAUCUUCGAUACAUAUGUGUAUGUCUGUUUAUAAUAAUGCAUUUCGUUAAUUUUUUCUAAUCUUGAAUUAGACUUAUUUCUUAUUUCGUAAUACAAUAAAUCUUGCUUAUUAAAUCUUUAAAACAUGAGAAUCGUAGUCGUUAACAUUUUUAUCCGAUAGGAAGUAGAUCUUUUAUCCUUGACAAGUUGAUUAUAUGAUAAACUAAACUGCAUCUGAACUCUGAAGAAGGGGGAAAUGAAAAGGGGACAAUCAGAAAAAUUUAAAAGGUCGGUCAGUAUUUGUCAUUUCGUUAACUCGGUCACUAAUUAAUUAAUAAAAUCUGUAAUUAGCUCUUAAGUCUAUAUUCUGUAUUUGGUAAACGGUAAUUACUUUAUAAGUUUAUAUUCUGCAUUCUGUGAAACUGCCUGUUAAUUAAUAAGUCUAUAUUUAGUAUUCUGUUAAACUGAUAAUUAGUUAAUAAGUUUGUGUUCUAGAUUUUACCAAACGAUAAUAAAUCAAUAAGUCUG